rnacentral:rRNA from 1 species
UACGUAGGGGGCAAGCGUUGUCCGGAUUUAUUGGGCGUAAAGAGCGUGUAGGCGGCUGGGUAGGUCCGUUGUGAAAACUCGAGGCUCAACCUCGAGACGCCGAUGGAAACCCUCCAGCUAGAGUCCGGAAGAGGAGAGUGGAAUUCCUGGUGUAGCGGUGAAAUGCGCAGAUAUCAGGAAGAACACCAAUGGCGAAGGCAGCUCGCUGGGACGUGACUGACGCUGAGACGCGAAAGCGUGGGGAGCAAACAGG